rnacentral:sRNA from 1 species
CUGCGACUGUUCUCUGCGACUCGAGCCCAGAUACAGCCGCGAAUUGCUGUUCAUCCUCUGUUUACCGUGCUUCCUAUUCCUUCUCUGCUUCUAGGCCCCUCGUCUUGACGCCCAGAGGCCACAAUUCUUCAUUUCUCACCGAUUCUUGAACCCCUUAUCCGCUCUGGCGACUGAUCAUGUCUAUUCACCUGCAAAUUCUAUAAGCUGCUCUGCCCUCCCUGGAAGAAUGGAGCUCAAUUGCCGCUAGGCCACCCAUUCUUGUUUCUGCCGGCGAUUUGAGAAUCCAACCCCUCCAAAGGCAGGUACUCGGAUUUCCCAGUUGGGCACUCAAUGUCGUAGAAGGAUAUAUCUCUUCUGUAUGUUACAAAGUACUACUCACCUAUACACAUUUAUACUUUUGUUUUUACACCAUCAAACAAAUCUAUAUAUUUCGGAACCAUGUCUUUUGCGGACCUUAUAAUUGUAGUGGCUCGAGUUGCCGAUGUCCUCGAAGCUAUCCAGGACCAUCUCUGCCAAGAGGUACCAUAGACCGCUACUUCUAUCCGCCAGUCCCAUGCAAACAGCAUUGAUUCGAAGAAGAUGACGUGUAUUGCUGUACGUCAAGAUCUGGUAUGUAUAUGAAUGAUGCAUGAGCAUGAACAAGGUAUUAGUUGAUGUUUCAAAGCAAGAGGAUACAACAGAUUACUUGUCGAUACAUGAUAUCUCGGAUAUCCAGACUGUCUUCCAUUGCCCCAGAAUUCUAUACGGAGUAAUAAUCACCACUAUAGCGGGGUCAGUGAGACGGUUAAUAAUAUUUCUUGAGUAAUUUUCUAUUCACGUAUGUUUCGUCGCGAUAUUCAACUGUGGAUGGUAAUCCCUUUUCCUUGCGUUUAGCCUUUUCAGCCAGCCACUUUUCGAACCUGUCGUUCCGUUAGUGAUUGGAUUUGCUGAGACCUUUUGAAAGUGGCUAACCAUUUUUUCAUCUUCGCGCGGCUUCCAUACGUGUUAGCCGUGUAUAUGCACCCGGGCGUCAUUACUCACCUUUUCUCAUUUCCCACAUUAACCGUGGCUAUCAUCUUCAAGUCUGCACCUGGUAGUGACAAGGCGAAGCACGUCAAUUCAAAGAAACUCGAGUGUUCCGAGUACGGUACCCCUAAUUCCCAUCUUUAUCAGUUUUGUUUCCUCUACAUUAAAAAGAAAACAGCUCUGCACGACUCACCAUACAUCAUGAAAUUCCUAUUACUCCCCCUCAUAGUCUUUAAAUCCCCCUCCCCAAAUCUCUUCGCCUGAUCCCGUCGUAUAACAGUAUUCACAUCGGGCAACAUAUCCGUCCCCGCAGGUGGAGAAUAACUCCAUCCGGUUGGGCGGAACCCUAAGACUCGGUCGAAAUGGGGGUGAAGAAGGGUGAGAUAGGAUUGCAAGCGGUCGAGCUGGAUGUUACCUAGGGGUAAAAGGUGGACUUGGGCUUCAGUAGGAUCGGAGGUAAGCAUGGAAUGGAGUUCGGGAUCGGUUUGGCAAAGCAAGAUUCCUUUUUUGCGCUGAUCGCAAUAGAUUUUGGAUCCUAUGGCUUUUGCAACCGCUUUAAAAGGUUGUCAAUAUGGAUGAAACUGGACAUUAAUGGAAGUAUGCUCACCCUUGACUAUUCUUUCUUUUCCGAUGGAGUAAGUUCCGACGACCACCAAAGUCCGACCCUUUACUCUUUUUCCAACUUCUCCCAAAUCUUCCUUGACUUCCUCCUUAACCCCUUCUUCCUUCUUCACCAACCACCCUUGCAUCAUCUGCUUCUCCCUUUCACCCUUCUCGUCCUUUAUUUCAACCUCAAUUUCUCUCUCUCCUCCAUCCUCCGUCUUUAGUGUGACUUUCCUUCCCCCUCCGCAAGUCAUACCUGCCACGCCCGAUACUCCUAUGGCCGAACCUUGCAGCACUGCCUUAAGUGAUGGCGCGUCCUCCGACUCGCCGACGACAUUUCGCCUGGCAAGCGUGGCACACGCGUUGAUCACAAGCGGUUGAGGAGGGAAACAGUAUUUAGGAUUGAGAUAGGUUGUAUCGAGAUAGCAUGUAUUGAUAGGUGCACGGGCU